rnacentral:rRNA from 1 species
AUGGAAGACUCAAUGACAGGAGCAGGUCCCGCGAUUAGCUUCGGCCAAUCUGAUGAACCAAGUACUCUUGGCGAGGCACUCAGCGACAAAAAUUGGAAGGCAGCCAUGGAGGAAGAACACAUGGCACUUCUCAAAAACAAAACGUGGCAUCUGGUUCCGCCACGACACGGUAAAAAUUUGAUUGAUUGCAAGUGGGUAUUUAGAAUUAAAAAGAAGGCUGAUGGAACCAUUGAUCGCUACAAAGCCAGACUAGUUGCAAAGGGUUUUAAACAACGGUACGGUAUAGACUAUGAGGACACCUUUAGUCCAGUUGUUAAAGCUGCAACUAUUCGUCUUGUGCUCUAA